GAGCCCCCCCCCCCCCCGAGCUACACAGGGAUUCACUGCUAUCCCACAGGAGUAGCUGGCAUGACACUAACGUGAACUGACUCAAAAGUCAAAUCCCUAACCAGACCCAGACAGCUGAAGGGCCGCUGCUGGAUGGUGAGGUCAAAGAAACCAGCAAAACCGUUUCUUCUGCUGCUGCUGUUUGAAGCCGUGAAAGUCCAAGAGGCUAACAGUGCAGAGAUUCCCAGAACCGCCCUAAGUCACAGCGAUCGCCAGCAAACGACAUUAAGACAAGAUCCUGACUGCUACCCAAGGCUGACUGAUGCAUCCCUGCAGACCUGUACUUGGACGGGAGGAGAGACUAGCAAGCUCUGUACCUGGAAACUGAUCUCACCAUGAGAGAAAACCCAAGGCCGAGCUCCCAAGGUAAGGCACUUAGACACGGACAGUACAAGAAGUAUCAGGCGUGUCAGGCACCACCCCACCUACAGUUAGCAUCUGUCUCAGGGUUUCCAUGGAAUGAAACACCAUGACCAAAAGCAACGUUGGGUUUGAAUAAGAAUGGCCCCCAUAGGCGUAUGCUUAGUCAUCAGGUAGUGGCGCCAUUUGAGGAGGAUUAGGACCUGGUCUUGUUGGAGGAAGUGUGUCACUAGUGGUGGGCCUUGGAGGUUUCAAAAGCCCAAGCCAGGCCCUGUAUCCCUUCCCUGUGCUUGCAGACCCAGAUAUAGAACACUCAGCUGCUUCUCCAGCACCAUGUCUGCCUGCUUUGCCGGCACGCUCCUUGCCAUGACGACAGUGGGCCAACCCUGAGAAGCUGUAACCCGGCCCAGUUAACUGUUUUCUCUUACAGGAGUUGCCAUGGUCAUGGGGUCUCUUCACAGCGUUAGAAACCCUGACUAAGUAAGGCAGGGAGGAAAAGGUUUAGUUCAUCCUACAACUCUUGGGUCACGCUGCAUCAGGGAGGGAAGUCAGGGCAGGAACUCAAACCAGGAACCUAGAGGCGGGAUCUAAAACGCAAAGGCCGCAGAGGGACUUCAUUCACUGGCUCGCUCUUUCUGAUUUGCUUGGUUUGCUGUCACACACACACCCCCGGGGACCAUUUUGCCAGUGGCGGUACUCACUCCCACGUCAGCCGUCAAUCAAGACAACAUCCACCACCCGUGGACAGUUUCUUUUCAGCUAAGGCCUCCCUCUUCUCAUGUGACCCUGGCUUAUGCCAAGCUGGUAGACAAAUCAACAAAACCACAUCAAGCAGAGCAGCAUCCGCUCAGAAACUGAAGCUGCGGUCUUAAAGCUGUUCUCAGAGGACAGGAGCUCCCUGAAUGGAGAUCAAGUGAGGACCCAGUGCCUCAUGUGAACCUCAAGGAAGACUCGUUUUUUUUUUUAACCUCAGGAGGCCGGUGGUGUAACUCGACAGCCUUCAGUGGCCACUGCCCAAAGCAGGGACUUUGAACUUCACGGUCACUUUAUUCGUAAACCCCCUGCUGAAGUAGCUGAAGACUGCUCGUAAUCUGAGGGACAUGUAAGCAAUCUUUUAGGGAAAGCGCUCCUGUGACCGAGCUGCUAUCAGAUCUUUUGGCAAUUACAUUUGGAAUCUGAAAGCGGCACCGAAUAAAUGUUGGCCGAUUCUGUUGACUUCCCGAAGGAAGGUGAAGCAUAAGCAUGCAGAGAUGACUGUCUCCUUAGGAAUUCUGGGAUUUUUUUUACGCUCUGGAAACAGGCAUUCUCCAUGCCUCCCCGCCUUUCCAGUUAGUAAUCUGUACCAGUGCCACUGCAACUUUGGGAAGAGGUUUUCCUCUUAGUAUGUAUUCCAAAGUGCCUGCAACCUCAGAGCUGACUGCCAACCCCACAGUGUGGGCAGCAAUAGCCAGACUAAGCAAAUGGCCUCCUCCUGGGUGAACGGGGAGUUGCCCGGGCUCGGUGUUCUUCCUCGGUGAGGCACAGCCAGAGCCAGUCUGAGCAAAGGCUCCAUGGCGAGUCUGCAGUUGACACUGACAUCCUUCCACUACUUUCCACCCCUUUCCAGAGAGCCCAAACCCAUCUUAACAACUGAUGAAUGCCAGCGAUUCCCAGGUCGCCAGUUUGGGAACACCUGGGAAUCUGGGGCUUGAUAUCUUUCAGAGGUUCUAGAACACACUUCCACUGUUGACAUUUCGAGUGACCCGAUGACCCAGCCACCCUUAACUGUCGAUCCUGCAGAGACGCUGACCAUGAAAUCCAACCCAUUUAAGGCACAACCACCCGGUACAGAAGAAUGCCAGACCGGGGCUCAACCCUACCUUACUGCCCCUGCUGCUGCAGCAGAGCCUGGCUAACCAGAGCUCAAGGAGUCAUUCACUACCCCACGCCCACACUCUAAAGCAUGGCCCCAGGCUCUGCUCUAGGAUCCAGCUGGCACGAGUGCAUGCCAACACACAACGCCUUUGGAUUUCUGAGCAUCUCCUUUUCCUCUCCAGUGCUGGAGGCACAGCUUCUGCUCUGCAUCUGUUCCCAGACACUGCUGGCGCCAUGCUGCACCGGGUGUCACUGCAGAGCUGGAGCUGACUGCUGUCAGUAUGGCCAGGAGCCUGUGUUCCUGGGGCAAAGUGCCAGAGGAGGAAACAGAUACGAACCGAGCGGACGAGCAAAUGCAGAAGCCAGUCAAGCAAAUCCACGCAGACUGUAAGAGCUGGACCAAAGGGAAAGCAGUCAGCCAAACACAAUUAGGGCAGGAAACAUACCUAUAAGUCCAUACCCACCAGGGCAGUAGAGUAAACCCCACCACCAGUCACAGCUCUGAUCCACAACUGCCCCCCCCCCCCCGCCCCAGGGCAGGUUUUUCUGCCAUCAGGAAAGGGAAAACCAGUACAGCGCUGUCAGCUUGGUGAAAUGGGCGACUCACGGUGUGCACAAUACCCAUCAAGUACCACGAGAGCUGAGACACACCUUCUCGCGUGCCCGCAGCCCUCAGACAAGGUGUACACAAGUGGUAACCCGGCUGGUGUGUCCUGUGCAUUCUUGUAAUUGGUUGCUCUGUCCCCACAAGCAAAGAGGUACUAUGUUACCCUGGGAAAACUCAGAGGAUGUGUUUGGGCCUUGCCCCCACAACAUAUGUACACCCACAAAUCUGGCACUCUGUCCCCAUGCUGGACGAAUGUCCUCCUGAGUGCAUUUACCUAGCUUUGUGGCCCUCUUGCUUCCGGUUGUUACCUGGGAUGCAGUCUCUUCAACCUUGGAGGGUGUUAGAGCGCCAAUGUGUUCCAUGGUUAAUCCCGCCCCCCCCCCCCCAGAGAUAGGGUUUCUCUGUAAAACUGACUGUCCUGAAACUUGCUCUGUAGCUGGCCUUGAACUCACAGAGAUCCACCUGCCUCUGCCUCCUGAGUGCUGGGAUUAGAGGUGUGUGCCAUCACCACUAGGCUUCCAGGUUAAAUUUUUAAUGCAUUAUUUAGAACCACUGUGUAUUUUCCAAAGUGCACUGGGGUUGGACAGCACUUGCUUUGUAAAGCCUGUUUGUAAAGCGUCCCUCUGCUGGCAAUGAUCAGACUAGGAACUAUCGAACUGGUCAUGGGGAAGAUCUGCAGGUAGACCUCAGAGGUAGGGAAACUCCCCGGUGUUAUUAAGGCCAUUUAUAAAGACUGUGGGGUUAGAGAGAUGGCUCAUUGUUUAAGACCAGUUGUUGCCCUUGCAGAGGAUCUGAGUUCAAUUCCCAGCUCCCCCA